UAAAAUAUAUUUGCUACUAAACACUAAACAUAAACCCUACACCCUAAAUCCCAAGCCCUAAAAUCUAAUCCGUAAACCCUAAAUACUAAACCUAAAACCUUAAACCCUAAACAUAAAUCCUACACCCUAAACUUAAAAUCCAAAACCCUAAAACCUAAACCCAAAACACUAAACCCUAAACCCUAAACCCUAAACCCUAAACUCUUAACCCUAAACCCUUACACCUAAACCCAAAACCAUAGUCCCCAAACUUUAUAACCAAAAUCGUACUUUAGCUUCUCGAAGCCGGUUGCGGUUCUAGUUCUUAUGCUCAACGAUACACAAAGAAUCUAGUCAUAUUUGGCUAUAAAUCCGCUACCCAAGCCACUUCCUGAUUCUCCAAGCUUUGAUGGUAA
rnacentral:sRNA from 1 species